UUCCAGCCUGACCCAGUUUCGGGGGCAGGGCCAGUCAGAGAGAGAGUGCUGGGCCCAGAUGGCAGCUGGCCCACCGUACCUCCACUUGCCCGGAUGUAAUGGUGGUAGACUCUCCAUCCUAGAGACCCUUCUUCCAUCAUCUCCUUUCUUGUGAGCUGAUUCUCCAGCACUGGAUCAGAGUAAGAGAAGAAGGAAAUGAUGUGCUUCUCAAUCGUUUGCAAGAAGAGCUUUUGCAAAGCCCUCUGUCCCUGACUUCCACCGUUUACCAGCUUCCUCACCUUCCAGCUGCAGAGCCCCACCCAAGUCCGACUCUAACCCGCAUGUUUCCGUGGAAGACUCUGCUGAAGAUUUUCCCAUCUUCUAAGAAAAUGAUCUGGUCACAAAGUGCUAAGUACUGAAGAGUCAGAAGAAAUAAGGUGUUCAGUAAGCAUACAAAAAGAUAUUCAACUUCAUCAUUCAACAGGAAAAUACAAACUUAAAUCAUAAUAAAAUAUUAUUUUAUA